GAGUGGUCUAAAUGCCUUGGAAUAGGCUGCCAUGGAGGGUGAGAGCCCCGUUCUUGGCUGCUCCGUUUUACUAAAUCGUGCGUGUUGUGAUGCCGUGCCACAGAGUCGCGCUGCUUGAGAGUGCAGCGUUAAGUGGGUGGUAUACUUCAUCCAAGGCUAAAUAACGGCGCGAGACCGAUAGCGAACAAGUACCGUGAGGGAAAG
rnacentral:rRNA from 12 species